rnacentral:rRNA from 1 species
AUCCAGAGAACUUAGCAGAGAUGCUUUGGUGCCUUCGGGAACUCUGAGACAGGUGCUGCAUGGCUGUCGUCAGCUCGUGUUGUGAAAUGUUGGGUUAAGUCCCGCAACGAGCGCAACCCUUAUCCUUUGUUGCCAGCGAUUCGGUCGGGAACUCAAAGGAGACUGCCGGUGAUAAACCGGAGGAAGGUGGGGAUGACGUCAAGUCAUCAUGGCCCUUACGAGUAGGGCUACACACGUGCUACAAUGGCGCAUACAAAGAGAAGCGACCUCGCGAGAGCAAGCGGACCUCAUAAAGUGCGUCGUAGUCCGGAUCGGAGUCUGCAACUCGACUCCGUGAAGUCGGAAUCGCUAGUAAUCGUGGAUCAGAAUGCCACGGUGAAUACGUUCCCGGGCCUUGUACACACCGCCCGUCACACCAUGGGAGUGGGUUGCAAAAGAAGUAGGUAGCUUAACCUUCGGGAGGGCGCUUACCACUUUGUGAUUCAUGACUGGGGUGAAGUCGUAACAAGGUAAGCGUAGAUGA